AUUGAACGCUGGCGGCAUGCUUUACGCAUGCAAGUCGAACGGUAACAGGCCGCAAGGUGCUGACGAGUGGCGAACGGGUGAGUAAUGCAUCGGAACGCGCCCAGUCGUGGGGGAUAACUGCUCGAAAGGGCAGCUAAUACCGCAUACGAUCUAUGGAUGAAAGCGGGGGACCGUAAGGCCUCGCGCGAUUGGAGCGGCCGAUGUCAGAUUAGGUAGUUGGUGGGGUAAAGGCUCACCAAGCCAACGAUCUGUAGCUGGUCUGAGAGGACGACCAGCCACACUGGGACUGAGACACGGCCCAGACUCCUACGGGAGGCAGCAGUGGGGAAUUUUGGACAAUGGGGGCAACCCUGAUCCAGCAAUGCCGCGUGCAGGAAGAAGGCCUUCGGGUUGUAAACUGCUUUUGUACGGAACGAAACGGUCUGGGUUAAUACCCUGGGCUAAUGACGGUACCGUAAGAAUAAGCACCGGCUAACUACGUGCCAGCCGCCGCCGUAAGAC
rnacentral:rRNA from 1 species